CAACAAUCCAAUCCGUGCUGCUUGAUAGCACCAUAAUCAAUCUCUAUCUAAGCUGUUUGUUAUUUUCUAAGAUUUCUCUUUGUUUUUUAAAAAACGCUUUCGUAGGAUUUCCUUUUGGUGUUGCUAAAAAAGGCUUUCCCUUUGGUUUUUGCCCCAACAACUUUUUUUUUUUUUGAACAAUUGCCCCAACAACUUUUCGCUUCGUAUUUGUAAAUAGAGAUGCUUAAAUUAAUAUCACAAUUCCUUCUUCAUAUUAGCAUAAUUGGUUGUGUGAUGAUUAACAAGACAAAGCCCUACAUCACUUCAAUGGUAGUCGAAAUUGGUUAGAUUAAAAAAUUUAGUUCAAAAUGCAAAAUAUAAUUGGAAUUACUGUCAACCUAAACUCCACCUUCAAAAUUAAAUAUUCUUACUGACCAUUCCAUUCGAAUUACGAUUAUGCAUCCAACUUCGAAAUGGGUUCUCCAUCGGACCACAUACAUUACGAGAGCCAAAUAAUCAUAAUGAUUAGCUACCAUUACAAGUACAAAUGAUGUCAGAAACACAAAUAAGUGAAAC
rnacentral:lncRNA from 1 species